CUACCCAGGUGAGGUUCGAAGAUCUCUGAGGCAACGGCGCUGGGACUCCUCCUCCUCUGAGAACCGAUAGCUGAACACAAACGUGCACACAGGAGAAGAGAGAAAGCACAGGACAGGACAGGAGAAGACCGGUAUGAGCACCAACCUGACUUAGCGCCCGGUGCAGACCCCCCCCCUUCAUGCUUGGUUUCCCUCCUCAUCAUGGUCUCUGCUUGUCUCUCGCUGCUUCCUCCCGGUUUUCCUGAUGCGUGUUUCCCGUCACAGUUUGGCGUGCGCCUCCUCCAUUCCUGCUCCGUGACUCUGAUGUCUGAGGCUCUGCAAUCACCCGCAGACACGCGCGCACGGCCACAUACGCUUUUGUGCAGAUAGCGGAGUGUGACUUUGACUAAUGUGAUGCUGGUUCAGACACGUUGGCAAUAAUCGAUUAUCAUCGCCGCUCCACAGAAGGAGAGCGCACAAACAGUCUCGUGCGUGUGCACAGCCUCUGCAGCUGCCAUGAAAUCAUGGAAAUGGAGAAAGAAAAAGUUUAGAAAGCAGGAAAAAUGAAAGAAUUGAUAGAGGAGUGUACAUUGUGAGAAACAGAGUUUACGUGUCCUCUGAGUUCUACUGUCCUUCAUCAGAUCAGAUGUCUAUCACUUUGUAUUAAAACAAAUCUGCUGAGGAGGAGAUGCAGCUGCAGCUUUCAUCACUUCCCUUUGUUUUAAAUUAAAAAUGGACUUUUCUGUCCAUAAAUGUUUUAGGUGUUUGAGUGCAUAUAGGUGUCUCAUCGAUCGCACAAUAAGAAACACACAAAUGACUGAGAAUUGAUGCAGAUGUUUGAUAGUGCAAUCAUGUAAUGUUAUGUAUUUGUGAGUGUAACUUUGUGGGUUUUUGUAAUUGUUUCUGUAUGUUUGUGUAUGCAAGUAUAAAAGUUUGUGUGAACAUUCUUUUGCAUGUGUGUGUCUGUAUAUGUGUGUUGGGCAGGGGUGUCAAACUCAAUCGCAAAGAAGGGGAAAUUCCAAAACACACCUGAGGUCACG